rnacentral:rRNA from 1 species
CUACGGGAGGCAGCAGUUUCGAAUCAUUCACAAUGGGCGAAAGCCUGAUGGUGCGACGCCGCGUGAGGGAUGAAGGUCUUCGGAUUGUAAACCUCUGUCACUGGGGAAGAAACGCUAAGCGUGAAUAUCGCUUAGCCUGACUUAACCCGGAGAGGAAGCAGUGGCUAACUCUGUGCCAGCAGCCGCGGUAAUACAGAGACUGCAAGCGUUAUUCGGAUUCACUGGGCGUAAAGGGUGCGCAGGCGGCCGUGUGUGUGAGGUGUGAAAUCCCGGAGCUUAACUCCGGAACUGCGCCUCAAACUACACGGCUAGAGCAUUGGAGAGGGAAGUGGAAUUCACGGUGUAGCAGUGAAAUGCGUAGAUAUCGUGAGGAACACCAGAGGCGAAGGCGACUGCCUGGACAAUUGCUGACGCUCAGGCACGAAAGCGGGGGGAGCAAAAGGGAUUAGAAACCCUAGUAGUCC